rnacentral:rRNA from 1 species
GAUGAACGCUGACAGAAUGCUUAACACAUGCAAGUCGAUGGGGAAGUGGUGCUUGCCUCAUGGCAACCAUGGCGGACGGGUGAGUAACGCGUAAGGGACUUACCUGCAGGACUGGGAUAACAGGGGGCAAAUCCUGACAAGACCGGAUAAUGUCAUGGAGCUGCAUGGCUUUAUGAUGAAAGGAGACGCCUGCGGAGAGCCUUGCGUCCUAUUAGCUAGUUGGUGAGGUAAUGGCUCACCAAGGCGAAGAUAGGUAGCCGGCCUGAGAGGGUGGACGGCCACAAGGGGACUGAGAUACGGCCCUUACUCCUACGGGAGGCAGCAGUGGAGAAUAUUGGACAAUGGGGGCAACCCUGAUCCAGCAAUUCUGUGUGCACGAAGAAGGUUUUCGGAUUGUAAAGUGCUUUCAGCAGGGAAGAAGUAAGUGACGGUACCUGCAGAAGAAGCGACGGCUAAAUACGUG